UGGGGAAUAUUGCACAAUGGGCGCAAGCCUGAUGCAGCAACGCCGCGUGAGGGACGACGGCCUUCGGGUUGUAAACCUCUUUUAGUAGGGAAGAAGCGAAAGUGACGGUACCUGCAGCAAACGCACAGGCUAACUACGUGCCAGCAGCCGCGGUAAUACGUAGGGUGCAAGCGUUAUCCGGAAUUAUUGGGCGUAAAGAGCUCGUAGGCGGUUUGUCACGUCUGCUGUGAAAACUGGAGGCUCAACCUCCAGCCUGCAGUGGGUACGGGCAGACUAGAGUGCGGUAGGGGAGAUUGUGAUUCCGGGUGUAGCGGUGGAAUGCGCAGAUAUCAGGAGGAACACCGAUGGCGACGGCAGAUCUCUGGGCCGUAACUGACGCUGAGGAGCGAAAGCAUGGGGAGCGAACA
rnacentral:rRNA from 1 species